GGCGUCGAUGCCGUGUUCUGUGACUGACUCGGAUGGCGCCGGACUGGUGGGCGCCCGCCGGUCUGUCACAGAACAAGAGACCGGACGCAA
rnacentral:pre_miRNA from 1 species